AGAUGGCGACCGGCGCACGGGUGAGUAACACGUAUCCAACCUGCCUCAUACUCGGGGAUAGCCUUUCGAAAGAAAGAUUAAUAUCCGAUAGCAUAUAUUUCCCGCAUGGGUUUUAUAUUAAAGAAAUUCGGUAUGAGAUGGGGAUGCGUUCCAUUAGUUUGUUGGGGGGUAACGGCUCACCAAGACUACGAUGGAUAGGGGUUCUGAGAGGAAGGUCCCCCACAUUGGAACUGAGACACGGUCCAA
rnacentral:rRNA from 1 species